rnacentral:rRNA from 1 species
AUUGAACGCUGGCGGCAUGCUUUACACAUGCAAGUCGAACGGCAGCGCGGGCUUCGGCCUGGCGGCGAGUGGCGAACGGGUGAGUAAUGCAUCGGAACGUGCCCAGUAGUGGGGGAUAGCCCGGCGAAAGCCGGAUUAAUACCGCAUACAACCUGAGGGUGAAAGCGGGGGACCGAAAGGCCUCGCGCUAUUGGAGCGGCCGAUGUCGGAUUAGCUAGUUGGUGGGGUAAAGGCUUACCAAGGCGACGAUCCGUAGCUGGUCUGAGAGGACGACCAGCCACACUGGGACUGAGACACGGCCCAGACUCCUACGGGAGGCAGCAGUGGGGAAUUUUGGACAAUGGGGGCAACCCUGAUCCAGCCAUGCCGCGUGCGGGAAGAAGGCCUUCGGGUUGUAAACCGCUUUUGUUCGGGAAGAAAUCCUCUGGGCUAAUACCCCGGGGGGAUGACGGUACCGGAAGAAUAAGCACCGGCUAACUACGUG